rnacentral:miRNA from 1 species
AGGAUCAGGCAGUGAACGGAUCA